rnacentral:lncRNA from 1 species
AAUGGCUUCUCUGAUAAGUAGCAUAUACAAUAUACAUUGUCAUUUUCUACAAGACACCCCAGCAACUUCAGGUAGGGAGUCAGCAGGCUUAGAAGAUCACUGUGACUCCGACAUGCCUCGUCCUUGUCCCUGGGAGAGCUGUCUUCAGAGAGGGUAUGGAUUAUGGAAAUGACCUGUGAUUAACAGC